GGGUUGUGAGGUUAAGCGACUAAGCGUACACGGUGGAUGCCCUGGCAGUCAGAGGCGAUGAAGGGCGUGCUAAUCUGCGAUAAGCGCCGGUAAGGUGAUAUGAACCGUUAUAACCGGCGAUACCCGAAUGGGGAAACCCAGUGUGAUUCGUCACACUAUCAUUAACUGAAUCCAUAGGUUAAUGAGGCGAACCGGGGGAACUGAAACAUCUAAGUACCCCGAGGAAAAGAAAUCAACCGAGAUUCCCCCAGUAGCGGCGAGCGAACGGGGAGGAGCCCAGAGCCUGAAUCAGCAUGUGUGUUAGUGGAAGCGUCUGGAAAGGCGCGCGAUACAGGGUGACAGCCCCGUACACAAAAGCGCAUGUGCUGUGAGCUCGAUGAGUAGGGCGGGACACGUGGUAUCCUGUCUGAAUAUGGGGGGACCAUCCUCCAAGGCUAAAUACUCCUGACUGACCGAUAGUGAACCAGUACCGUGAGGGAAAGGCGAAAAGAACCCCGGCGAGGGGAGUGAAAAAGAACCUGAAACCGUGUACGUACAAGCAGUGGGAGCNNNNNNNNNNNNNNNNNNNNNNNNNNNNNNNNNNNNNNNNNNNNNNNNNNNNNNNNNNNNNGGCGUUAAGUUGCAGGGUAUAGACCCGAAACCCGGUGAUCUAGCCAUGGGCAGGUUGAAGGUUGGGUAACACUAACUGGAGGACCGAACCGACUAAUGUUGAAAAAUUAGCGGAUGACCUGUGGCUGGGGGUGAAAGGCCAAUCAAACCGGGAGAUAGCUGGUUCUCCCCGAAAGCUAUUUAGGUAGCGCCUCGUGAAUUCAUCUCCGGGGGUAGAGCACUGUUUCGGCUAGGGGGCCAUCCCGGCUUACCAACCCGAUGCAAACUGCGAAUACCGGAGAAUGUUAUCACGGGAGACACACGGCGGGUGCUAACGUCCGUCGUGAAGAGGGAAACAACCCAGACCGCCAGCUAAGGUCCCAAAGUCAUGGUUAAGUGGGAAACGAUGUGGGAAGGCCCAGACAGCCAGGAUGUUGGCUUAGAAGCAGCCAUCAUUUAAAGAAAGCGUAAUAGCUCACUGGUCGAGUCGGCCUGCGCGGAAGAUGUAACGGGGCUAAACCAUGCACCGAAGCUGCGGCAGCGACACUGUGUGUUGUUGGGUAGGGGAGCGUUCUGUAAGCCUGUGAAGGUGUGUCGUGAGGCAUGCUGGAGGUAUCAGAAGUGCGAAUGCUGACAUAAGUAACGAUAAAGCGGGUGAAAAGCCCGCUCGCCGGAAGACCAAGGGUUCCUGUCCAACGUUAAUCGGGGCAGGGUGAGUCGACCCCUAAGGCGAGGCCGAAAGGCGUAGUCGAUGGGAAACGGGUUAAUAUUCCCGUACUUGGUGUUACUGCGAAGGGGGGACGGAGAAGGCUAUGUUGGCCGGGCGACGGUUGUCCCGGUUUAAGCGUGUAGGUGUGUGUUCCAGGUAAAUCCGGUUCACUUUAACACUGAGGCGUGACGACGAGGCACUACGGUGCUGAAGCAACAAAUGCCCUGCUUCCAGGAAAAGCCUCUAAGCAUCAGGUAACAUCAAAUCGUACCCCAAACCGACACAGGUGGUCAGGUAGAGAAUACCAAGGCGCUUGAGAGAACUCGGGUGAAGGAACUAGGCAAAAUGGUGCCGUAACUUCGGGAGAAGGCACGCUGACACGUAGGUGAAGUGAUUUACUCAUGGAGCUGAAGUCAGUCGAAGAUACCAGCUGGCUGCAACUGUUUAUUAAAAACACAGCACUGUGCAAACACGAAAGUGGACGUAUACGGUGUGACGCCUGCCCGGUGCCGGAAGGUUAAUUGAUGGGGUCAGCGCAAGCGAAGCUCCUGAUCGAAGCCCCGGUAAACGGCGGCCGUAACUAUAACGGUCCUAAGGUAGCGAAAUUCCUUGUCGGGUAAGUUCCGACCUGCACGAAUGGCGUAAUGAUGGCCAGGCUGUCUCCACCCGAGACUCAGUGAAAUUGAACUCGCUGUGAAGAUGCAGUGUACCCGCGGCAAGACGGAAAGACCCCGUGAACCUUUACUAUAGCUUGACACUGAACAUUGAGCCUUGAUGUGUAGGAUAGGUGGGAGGCUUUGAAGUGUGGACGCCAGUCUGCAUGGAGCCGACCUUGAAAUACCACCCUUUAAUGUUUGAUGUUCUAACGUGGACCCGUUACCCGGGUUGCGGACAGUGUCUGGUGGGUAGUUUGACUGGGGCGGUCUCCUCCUAAAGAGUAACGGAGGAGCACGAAGGUUGGCUAAUCCUGGUCGGACAUCAGGAGGUUAGUGCAAUGGCAUAAGCCAGCUUGACUGCGAGCGUGACGGCGCGAGCAGGUGCGAAAGCAGGUCAUAGUGAUCCGGUGGUUCUGAAUGGAAGGGCCAUCGCUCAACGGAUAAAAGGUACUCCGGGGAUAACAGGCUGAUACCGCCCAAGAGUUCAUAUCGACGGCGGUGUUUGGCACCUCGAUGUCGGCUCAUCACAUCCUGGGGCUGAAGUAGGUCCCAAGGGUAUGGCUGUUCGCCAUUUAAAGUGGUACGCGAGCUGGGUUUAGAACGUCGUGAGACAGUUCGGUCCCUAUCUGCCGUGGGCGCUGGAGAACUGAGGGGGGCUGCUCCUAGUACGAGAGGACCGGAGUGGACGCAUCACUGGUGUUCGGGUUGUCAUGCCAAUGGCACUGCCCGGUAGCUAAAUGCGGAAGAGAUAAGUGCUGAAAGCAUCUAAGCACGAAACUUGCCCCGAGAUGAGUUCUCCCUGAGACUUAAAGUCUCCUGAAGGAACGUUGAAGACGACGACGUUGAUAGGCCGGGUGUGUAAGCGCAGCGAUGCGUUGAGCUAACCGGUACUAAUGAACCGUGAGGCUUAACCUUACAACGCCGAAG
rnacentral:rRNA from 1 species